GCCCCCGUAGCUCAGCGGAUAGAGCAGCCGCCUCCUAAGCGAAAGGUCGCAGGUUCGACUCCUGCCGAGGGCA
rnacentral:tRNA from 1 species